rnacentral:rRNA from 1 species
AUAAGCGGAGGAAAAGAAACCAACAGGGAUUGCCCUAGUAACGGCGAGUGAAGCGGCAACAGCUCAAAUUUGAAAUCUGGCGUAAGCCCGAGUUGUAAUUUGUAGAGGAUGCUUCUGGGUAGCGGCCGGUCUAAGUUCCUUGGAACAGGACGUCAUAGAGGGUGAGAAUCCCGUAUGUGACUGGCUUGCACCCUCCACGUAGCUCCUUCGACGAGUCGAGUUGUUUGGGAAUGCAGCUCUAAAUGGGAGGUAAAUUUCUUCUAAAGCUAAAUACCGGCCAGAGACCGAUAGCGCACAAGUAGAGUGAUCGAAAGAUGAAAAGCACUUUGGAAAGAGAGUUAAAAAGCACGUGAAAUUGUUGAAAGGGAAGCGCCCGCAACCAGACUUUGCGGCGGUGUUCGGCUGGUCUUCUGACCGGUUUACUCGCCGCCGUGAGGCCAUCAUCGUCUGGGACCGCUGGAUAAGACCUGAGGAAUGUAGCUCCCUUCGGGGUGUGUUAUAGCCUCUGGUGAUGCAGCGCGUCUCGGGCGAGGUCCGCGCUUCGGCAAGGAUGAUGGCGUAAUGGUUGUCGGCGGCCCGUCUUGAAACACGGACCAAGGAGUCUAACAUCUAUGCGAGUGUUCGGGUGUCAAACCCCUACGCGUAAUGAAAGUGAACGGAGGUGGGAACUUUUUGUGCACCAUCGACCGAUCCUGAUGUCCUCGGAUGGAUUUGAGUAAGAGCAUAGCUGUUGGGACCCGAAAGAUGGUGAACUAUGCCUGAAUAGGGUGAAGCCAGAGGAAACUCUGGUGGAGGCUCGCAGCGGUUCUGACGUGCAAAUCGAUCGUCAAAUUUGGGUAUAGGGGCGAAAGACUAAUCGAACCAUCUAGUAGCUGGUUCCUGCG